rnacentral:lncRNA from 1 species
CGCGUGUGGGACAACCUGGACCAGUGGCACUCCCGGCUGGCUGUGCUGGAGUCUGAGGUGCAGGAGGUGGCCAUGGAGGCGCCGGAGAAGGCCCACGCCCUCAUGGACGAGCUCACUGACCCCCUGCAGCUCUACCAGAUAGUGGCCAAGCAGGCAGAGCAGAGGACAACCUUUCUGGGCAAGAUCCCAGCCUGUCUUCAGGAGCAUGAGGACUUGCUCAUCAGCGCAGCCCACUGGGAGGAUGAGGCAAAGGCGUGGCUGAACACCCCCCGCACAUACACCAGUGCUAGGUGUCUGCAUGACCACGCUGUCUCCCUUCAGGUCAGCCCAGCUCUGUCACACGUAGCCAUGACAUACAGGACUUGGGUAUUUGUAUCAGUGCUUAAUCCUUAUGACUAAAGGCCGAAAUAUACUUCAACGACUCCGUUACUCCGUGGUCAGGCAGUUGCCUCGACGGACUCGUUUUCAUUUAUGGUUCUCCGACGGUUGUCGGUGUUGCAAAGCAAUUAAAAAAAAAAAGAUGGCGGCAGACCAAACUCCGUAGAUGGUCGUAUUUGUACAUAAAAGUUAUUUGUUUGACUUUUUUUUUGCUUAGAUUUUUUAAAGUUACCGAGAAAUAGACACUGUGCAAUGUAAAAACCCUGUUAUUGUAACUGAAAAAUACUUCUGAGGGCAGCUAUCUAAUGUUGGCAUAUUACUAACCACAAGGUAAACAGCGAUGUAUUGACGGAUUGACGGAGACGGAUAGUUAAAAAAAUUGGGAGGUGCACGUCAGGCCACGGAGAGGUGCUCGGAGAGGGUUUGUCCGUGUCUCCUUAAACGGAUGACCAUAAAUUACGCUUUAGGCUGCAGGUAGUGAUUAUCUUCCUCCCAAGAUUUCUAUGUAGACUUCAUAACUGACAAAGUGUUCACUGACUUGCACCAUGAACAACAGAGUUGGGGUUCCCGUCGUCUUCAACUUACCAAACCUUUAUCAAUUCCUCCUGAUUACACAGUGAUAUCCCUAAGGUAAUGCCUGCGUAUGAAGGGAUUUGUAUUGUAUUUGUGCUUGUGUCCAGAUGGUUCUGGAUGAUUCUGAGCGAAUCAGGGCAGCGCUGGACGCCUUUGUGCCUGUCAUGCAGGAGAUCUCACCUGUGUGUGACACGGACUCUAUGCAGGAGCGCCUGAGGAAGACCCUCCAACACGUCUCACACAUGCAGCAAAGCGUCCUGGAACCUCUCGCCCAGCUCCAACAUUUGUCAGAGGUUGGCAGCUAUACUUUUUUGGUGAUGAUUUACAUUAUUAUUGCUGCUGUUGAUGAUGAUGAUGACGACGACGACGACGACGAUGAUGGUGAUGAUGAUGAUGAUGAUUGGCGAUUGAUUAUGUGUUAACUAACACUAAUUAAAUGCAGUUAUUAAUAUUAAGAUAGACCAAUGUUGGUAAAGGGAAUCUUGAUAUAAAGGUGACAUAGUAACUUUCUUUGUUUAGCAUGUAUGACAUAUGAUGUUCCCUACAAUAAUAUUUCUGUAUUGUAUCAGUGUGUCAGCACAUUCAUGAGCUGGGAUGAUUGAUACUUUUCCUCAUAUGUAGGAGGUGGAUGCCAUGGAAGCAGAGGUCAAAACCAUGGAGAAGAACAUCACCAAGAUCAACGCCAUCUUAUCCAGCAUCGACGCAGAGAACGCACCUAGGGAGGAGCAGCUGCGAUACUGUCACGUGAGCAACAUCAAAUUUACGCACACAGGACUGCGUUUACCACAAGUCUCACUAUACCAAGAUUAACAGACUAUCACCCUGAACACUCUCGUAGUUGUGAUAUACAUUUAUUCAAACUUACAGUACAGAUAUACAUUUUCAUCAGUAUAUGUCUUCCCUGAGUGUAAAAACUAUUAUCUUGGUGUUGUUAGCAUGUCGCUCUACCAGUCACUCUACCAGAUUCUCUACCAGUCGAGCCACAGGACUACAAGUAAAGGCUAUAUAAAACAUUUAAGACCACAUAUGAAACCUCACCAUGCCAUGAGCAUCGGGCCUAACAACACCCUUGAACAGUACAUUAUUGACGAUACAGUACUGCCUCUCGUACCUUAUUGCUUAAUUAAUAUACAGUAUGAGACUCUAAGAAACUAUAAUUUUGAACACUUUUUUAGUUGUGAUAAUCCUCGCACAACAAUGCUUUUGGGAAUCGAAGUUCAGGUGAGCAAUGCAGCUCAAAGGUGAAUCUGCUGUGUGAUCCGACCUCCUGUGCACUUUUCCAGGUGAUCCUGGAGAACAUCCGCUCCAUGAAGAGGACCCUCACCGAGAUCGAGCAUUACAGGACGGACCUGGGGCUGCCCAGCGGAGCCGAAGACACCCUGGUGGUUUUUCAGCGAAACCAGAACCUCCAGCAGCCCAUGCAGGAGCUGGAGGAGCGUACCCAGGAACAGAGCACCAUGCUGGAGGCAAGUUCCCAAUACCACCACCUUUCAACCCUGGAGUGUGAAAAUGAAACAAUAAAGUGGAUUGAUAGUCUGUUUAGUUUGAUUGG